rnacentral:pre_miRNA from 1 species
GGGGGGAGUGCCGGAUCUAGGACUGUGUUUCCUAGUGCCCUGUGCUCCAGGGCCUGCACCACUGGAAUCACGCUCCUGGGGCCAGCAGCCCGCU